AGCGAACGCUGGCGGCAGGCCUAACACAUGCAAGUCGAACGAAGUCUUCGGACUUAGUGGCGGACGGGUGAGUAACACGUGGGAACGUGCCUUUAGGUUCGGAAUAACUCAGGGAAACUUGUGCUAAUACCGAAUGUGCCCUUCGGGGGAAAGAUUUAUCGCCUUUAGAGCAGCCCGCGUCUGAUUAGCUAGUUGGUGAGGUAAAGGCUCACCAAGGCUACGAUCAGUAGCUGGUCUGAGAGGAUGACCAGCCACAUUGGGACUGAGACGCGGCCCAAACUCCUACGGGAGGCAGCAGUGGGGAAUCUUGCGCAAUGGGCGAAAGCCUGACGCAGCCAUGCCGCGUGGAUGAUGAAGGUCUUAGGAUUGUAAAAUCCUUUCACCGGUGAAGAUAAUGACUGUAGCCGGAGAAGAAGCCCCGGCUAACUUCGUGCCAGCCGCCGCAGUAAAAC
rnacentral:rRNA from 1 species